rnacentral:rRNA from 1 species
UACGGGGGGGGCAAGCGUUGUUCGGAAUUACUGGGCGUAAAGGGCUCGUAGGCGGCCAACUAAGUCAGACGUGAAAUUUCUCGGCUUAACCGAGGCAGGUCGUCGGAUACUGCGGAACUUGAGGACGGUAGAGGCGUGUGGAAUUCCGGGUGUAGUGGUGAAAUGCGUAGAGAUCCGGAGGAACACCAGUGGCGAAGGCGACACGCUGGGCCGUACCUGACACUGAUGCGCGACAGCAUGGGGAGCAAACAGG